rnacentral:rRNA from 1 species
GUAUGUCACGCGACGAGCUAAUACCCGAUGUGCCGGAAGGUGAAACAUUUAUGGCCUGAGGAUGAGCUCGCGUCUGAUUAGCUAGUUGGAGUGGUAAUGGCACACCAAGGCGACGAUCAGUAGCUGGUCUGAGAGGAUGAUCAGCCACACUGGGACUGAGACACGGCCCAGACUCCUACGGGAGGCAGCAGUGGGGAAUUUUCCGCAAUGGGCGCAAGCCUGACGGAGCAAGACCGCGUGGGGGACGAAGGUUUGUGGAUUGUAAACCCCUUUUGAUUGGGAAGAAGUUCUGACGGUACCAAUCGAAUCAGCAUCGGCUAACUCCGUGCCAGCAGCCGCGGUAAUACGGAGGAUGCAAGCGUUAUCCGGAAUUAUUGGGCGUAAAGCGUCCGUAGGUGGCUAUUCAAGUCAGAUGUUAAAGCGUGGGGCUUAACUCCAUAAAGGCAUCUGAAACUGAUUGGCUAGAGUGCGAUAGGGGCAAGGGGAAUUUCCAGUGUAGCGGUGAAAUGCGUAGAUAUUGGAAAGAACACCGGUGGCGAAAGCGCCUUGCUGGGUCUGCACUGACACUGAGGGACGAAAGCUAGGGGAGCGAAUGGGAUUAGAUACCCCC